GCGGGAUUAGUUUAAUGGUAGAACUACAGUUUUCCAAACUGUUAGCAGGAGUUCGAUUCCCCUAUCCCGCACCA
rnacentral:tRNA from 1 species